rnacentral:miRNA from 1 species
AGAGGGAUGGAGAGCAUCGCGU